rnacentral:pre_miRNA from 1 species
GUGGCGUAUUACAUGGUCUGUUACAAGGGAUGAAGUGCUCGAGUUUCGAGUUCCCUUGUGACAGCCCAUGGGAGAAUU